GAUGAACGCUAGCGGCAGGCCUAAUACAUGCAAGUCGAGGGGUAGAGAAGAGCUUGCUUUUCUUGAGACCGUCGCACGGGUGCGUAACGCGUAUGCAACCUACCUUUAUCAGGGGGAUAGCCUCUCGAAAGAGAGAUUAACACCGCAUAAAAACACAGUACGGCAUCGUACAAUGUUCAAAUAUUUAUAGGAUAAAGAUGGGCAUGCGUGACAUUAGCUAGUUGGUGAGGUAAGGGCUAACAAAGGCGACGAUGGCUAGGGGAUCUGAGAGGAUGACCCCCCAACCUGGUACUGAGAGACGGACCAGACUCCUACGGGAGGCAGCAGUAAGGAAUAUUGGUCAAUGGGGGCAACCCUGAACCAGCCAUGCCGCGUGCAGGAAGACGACCCUACGGGUUGUAAACUGCUUUUAUACGGGAAUAAACCCCUUUACGUGUAAAGGGUUGAAUGUACUGUAAGAAUAAGGAUCGGCUAACUCCGUGCCAGCAGCCGCAGUAACAC
rnacentral:rRNA from 1 species